UCCCUAGUGGUCUAGUGGUUAGGAUUCUGUGCUUUCACCGCUGCAGCCUAGGUUCAAUCCCUGGCCUGGGAA
rnacentral:tRNA from 1 species